AACCCGUCGACCCGAAAGAGAAGAACAAGAAGAAGAAGAAAGAAGA
rnacentral:sRNA from 1 species